UGCUGCUUUGCUGACGAGUGGCGGACGGGUGAGUAAUGUCUGGGAAACUGCCUGAUGGAGGGGGAUAACUACUGGAAACGGUGGCUAAUACCGCAUAACGUCGCAAGACCAAAGAGGGGGACCUUCGGGCCUCUUGCCAUCAGAUGUGCCCAGAUGGGAUUAGCUUGUUGGUGAGGUAACGGCUCACCAAGGCGACGAUCCCUAGCUGGUCUGAGAGGAUGACCAGCCACACUGGAACUGAGACACGGUCCAGACUCCUACGGGAGGCAGCAGUGGGGAAUAUUGCACAAUGGGCGCAAGCCUGAUGCAGCCAUGCCGCGUGUAUGAAGAAGGCCUUCGGGUUGUAAAGUACUUUCAGCGGGGAGGAAGGUGUUGCGGUUAAUAACCGCAGCAAUUGACGUUACCCGCAGAAGAAGCACCGGCUAACUCCGUGCCAGCAGCCGCGGUAAUACGGAGGGUGCAAGCGUUAAUCGGAAUUACUGGGCGUAAAGCGCACGCAGGCGGUCUGUCAAGUCGGAUGUGAAAUCCCCGGGCUCAACCUGGGAACUGCAUUCGAAACUGGCAGGCUUGAGUCUUGUAGAGGGGGGUAGAAUUCCAGGUGUAGCGGUGAAAUGCGUAAAGAUCUGGAGGAAUACCGGUGGCGAAGGCGGCCCCCUGGACAAAGACUGACGCUCAGGUGCGAAAGCGUGGGGAGC
rnacentral:rRNA from 1 species